rnacentral:lncRNA from 1 species
GUCCAUGGAAGGGACGAACUGUCUGUAACUGUGACCAUGAAAGGGAUGAACUGUGUGUUGAUUGUCUUUCUCUGUGUUUGUUGGUGUUGGUUACCUCAUUCUAUGUUCUUGGACUUGGACUGACGACAUCUUUGGACAUUGGACAGACCGAAUCUACCUUGUUAAACAUUCUAGUUAAUCACUGGAGGGAAGUUAGGAAAAGAAGAGAAGAGCAAGUUUAACUGACUCUGUUCUCAGAAUGGCCCACUUUUGGAGUAAGGGGGCCACCUGUAGGGACCUUCAACUUGCAGGUGAUCAAAGCAGUAGAGGAAAAAGUCUUUAGGCCAGGAUCCCUGCUGCACCCAGACCAAGUGUCCUGGAAGAAUCUCGUGGAGAACCCACCCCCCUUCCCCUCCCCACCGAUAAAAGCCUUUCUUUCCCCAAGACCCACCUCACAGGUUCUGACUGUCGGGAAGAAAGAAGCACGGGAGGAGGGAUCCGGGCCUGAGAGAAGUCAAUCCUCCAAGACCCUUCGCCAGCGGAUCUGUUGCUCCAAGACCCUCCUCCUCCAUAUCACCCUUCCCUUUCCCCCAUGGCCCUGCCGGUGCUGGCUCCAGCUCUGGAAUCCUCAGCCCAUAUAGGACCAGGGCCAUUGUAUCCCACUUUACCGGAGGAAUGAACAGGAGGAGAACCCCAACUUCCCGGUCCUGCCAUGGGGACCCAAAGUCUGAGAGCCACCUCCCCUGAUACCACGGUGGCUCUCUUGCUGGGGACAUAUGGGCCUCUGGAAAAGGGCAAUCAGGCUAUGCAAUAUUGGCCCUUCUCUUUGGCUGACUUGUACAACUGGAAGGCCCAACCCCCCCCCCUUUCCCAAGGGGCAGAUUAAUGUCUUUGAGACUGUUUUAUUUACUCAUCAGCCCACCUAGGUGAUAUCCAACAACUCACGAGAGUACUCUUCAUGACCGAAGAGAGAGAAGAUAAUGCAGGAAGCUAGAAAGACAUGGGGGCACCAUCGAUUGACCAGGUUGUUGUCGACAGCGGGCUUUCUCUGACUAGACCUGAGUAGGACUUGUCUUAGUCAGGGUUUCUACUCCUGCACAAACAUCAUGACCAUGUUUUGGGGAAGCAAGCCAUUAAAGAACAUCCCUCCAUGGCCGCCUCUGCAUCAGCUCCUGUUUUCUGACCUGCUUGAGUUCCAGUCCUGACUUCCUUCAGUGAUGAACAGCAGUAUGGAAGUGUAAGCCGAAUAAACCCUUUCCUCCCCAA